ACGGGAGGCAGCAGUGGGGGAUAUUGCGCAAUGGGGGAAACCCUGACGCAGCAACGCCGCGUGAAGGAUGAAGGUCUUCGGAUUGUAAACUUCUUUUAUCAAGGACGAAGAAUGACGGUACUUGAUGAAUAAGCUCCGGCUAACUACGUGCCAGCAGCCGCGGUAAUACGUAGGGAGCGAGCGUUGUCCGGAUUUACUGGGUGUAAAGGGUGCGUAGGCGGCCAAGCAAGUCAGUUGUGAAAUCUAUGGGCUCAACCCAUAGCCUGCAAUUGAAACUGUUUGGCUUGAGUGAAGUAGAGGUAGGCGGAAUUCCCGGUGUAGCGGUGAAAUGCGUAGAGAUCGGGAGGAACACCAGUGGCGAAGGCGGCCUACUGGGCUUUAACUGACGCUGAGGCACGAAAGCAUGGGUAGCAAACAGGAUUAGAUACCCUGGUA
rnacentral:rRNA from 1 species